GUCCGGAAUCAUUGGGCGUAAAGCGCGUGUAGGCGGUCCGGUAAGUCCGCUGUGAAAGUCGAGGGCUCAACCCUCGAAUGCCGGUGGAUACUGUCGGGCUUGAGUACGGGAGAGGCGAGUGGAAUUCCUGGUGUAGCGGUGAAAUGCGUAGAUAUCAGGAGGAACACCGAUGGCGAAGGCAGGUCUCUGGGCUGACACUGACGCUCAUGCACGAAAGCGUGGGGAGCAAACAGG
rnacentral:rRNA from 1 species